AUUCCUAAAAUUAUCUCCUGUGUUUAAGGGUGGGGAAUGGGUGAGAAAGUGGCCCUGGCCAAGACUUCAGUGUGCCAGUUCACUUCUGGUGCUUCUAGAGACAGGCAGAGCAUGAACGUCCACUCUUUUGAUCAUUAACCCUUUACCCCUAAGGUGACACAGCUUGAUUUUCUGAAACAAUGAUCCAUGUUGAAAAUUUGAGUUAUGUACUGUAACUUGACUUUUCCUAACUCUUUCAGUAACGAUUUGCAUUACUUGUCUGUAAGUAGUGACUAGAUUUCCUGGUCUAAGACAAACAGAAGAGCUAUAUUCCUUACCUGGUAAAUAUGAAUUAUUGCUCAAUUUUCUUAAUUACAGUGGAAGAGCUGAAUAUGUUUUACUUGGUACUUAGUGUUUUUAUGGUGCUAGACUGAGAAAUGGCUGAUAGCACAAAUUUUGUACUGAAUACUGAGUAGGGGUGUUUUUCUAUUUCCAGUCCAUUGUAACAACUAGCCAAAUCUACUGUUAGCUGAUUAAAUGCAGUAUCAUGAAAUCUUCUGUUCAUCUUUGGUGUAGAAAACACUUUUCUUUUAGUAAACUCACUUUUUCAUGGACUCAAUCUUCAUCAAGCUUUGUUCUAAAACAGAACCAGAAACAUUUGCUAUAUUCCUCUUCCUUAUCAGGAGGAUACUGCCCUUUCCAAGCAAGUUUCUGUGGACUCUUUUAGAAUGCUGUAAAUGUGCUUAAAGAGAAAAGAGAUUAUUCAUAUUGCAGCGAGGGUAAAUACAGCUCACAGAUUUCAGGUCACUGGCUUGUUAGAAAUUAAAAUGCUUGCUGAUGGCCUACCUACAAUCUUUUACUGAGCACACUGAUAGAAACAUAUUUUUGGUAUAAGGAAAAAUACACAACUGUAACAUCUUCUGUGUGACUUACAGAAUUCUUUAGCUUUGUGUUUAGGGAUGGCACUUUCUGUAGUUUGUUUUCCACUUGGCACAGAGGUUGAAUUUACAUUGAAUUUUAAACACCAAGAAGUGAUUGGAGAAUUUAUUAAUCCAAAGUUAGUGUUCUAGCAAAAUAACUUUGUAUAAGUGACAGUUUAAUAUACAUGUUGUAGAUCUAAUAUUUGUUAGUUUGUAAUUAUGGUAAUUCCAAUUAUUGGAUGCUUUCAGAUUAAGUAAUUUUCUUCAGCAGAGAAGUCAACACAAUUUUUGUAGAAUCAAGUAAUGGAGAUGCUGGAUUCAGCUUGGGUACUGUUUUCAGUUUAAAAACAAACAAACAAACAAAAAAAACUCUAAACUACUAAUGAAGACUCUUAAAUUGGCAUAAGAUGCUCAAGAGUGAACAUUCAGAAGCCAGCAAAUCUGAUUUUCUUUGGCAGGCUUACCUUGAUCACAUUUGUUUGUCUGUUCUUACCUAAAUAGUUCUUAGGUGCUUGUAUCUUUAGCUGUGCUUUACCACUGCAGAAUUUUUUUCUUAAGUAAUUCUAACUUCAGCUUCUGCUUCCUGAUAAUUUUAUCCAUAUCUUAAAGGUAAUAUAAGUGUCUUACACUUUUUUAACUUCUUCAAAUGAAUUAAUAUUCUGAUUCCUGAAACCGAAUUGAGAUGCUGAAAUCAGUCUGUUUGGCUUUAUGUUAAACUGUUCUAUGUUAAAAGUAUGCUGUCAGGUGGUUCAUUCCAAAAGCUUAAAAACAAUCAGAUAUUCAAUUACAUUAAAUCAGAAUUCUUUCUUUUCGCUUUCAUUACAGACCUCAUAUUUAAAAAGCAUUGAGAAUGCAGAUCUUGAAACUUUCAGGCAGUUCAGAGACAAGUCUCUGAAUUUCUGUUACCCAUCACAUCUGUGCUCUGUCAGUUUUCAUCUGGAUGGAGACAUGGGUGGGGUCCAGGACUGAACCCUACAGGACCUGCUAAGAAAUCUUUGAGCAGAGGAAUCGUUUUUUGAAAUUAUCAGCAUUUCCCAA